UACGUAGGGUCCGAGCGUUGUCCGGAAUUAUUGGGCGUAAAGGGCUCGUAGGCGGUUUGUCGCGUCUGCUGUGAAAAUCCGGGGCUCAACCCCGGACUUGCAGUGGGUACGGGCAGACUAGAGUGUGGUAGGGGAGACUGGAAUUCCUGGUGUAGCGGUGAAAUGCGCAGAUAUCAGGAGGAACACCGAUGGCGAAGGCAGGUCUCUGGGCCACUACUGACGCUGGAGAAGCGGAAAAGCAUCGGGGGAGCGAACAGG
rnacentral:rRNA from 1 species